rnacentral:rRNA from 1 species
CCUACGGGUUGCUGCAGUGGGGGAUAUUGCACAAUGGGGGAAACCCUGAUGCAGCGACGCCGCGUGGGUGAAGAAGCGCCUCGGCGCGUAAAGUCCUGUCAGCAGGGAAGAAAAUGACGGUACCUGCAGAAGAAGCCCCGGCUAACUACGUGCCAGCAGCCGCGGUAAUACGUAGGGGGCAAGCGUUAUCCGGCUUUACUGGGGGUAAAGGGGGCGCAGACGGCGAGGCAAGCCAGGCGUGAAAGCCCGGGGCCCAACCCCGGGACUGCUCUUGGAACUGCGUGGCUAGAGUGCAGGAGGGGCAGGCGGAAUUCCUGGGGUAGCGGUGAAAUGCGUAGAUAUCAGGAGGAACACCGGUGGCGAAGGCGGCCUGCUGGACUGCAACUGACGUUGAGGCCCGAAAGCGUGGGGAGCAAACAGGAUUAGAUACCCGUGUAGUC